UGAACGCUGGCGGCGUGCCUAAUACAUGCACGUCGAGCGAACGGACGAGAAGCUUGCUUUUCUGAUGUUAGCGGCGGACGGGUGAGUAACACGUGGAUAACCUACCUAUAAGACUGGGAUAACUUCGGGAAACCGGAGCUAAUACCGGAUAAUAUUUUGAACCGCAUGGUUCAAAAGUGAAAGACGGUCUUGCUGUCACUUAUAGAUGGAUCCGCGCUGCAUUAGCUAGUUGGUAAGGUAACGGCUUACCAAGGCAACGAUGCAUAGCCGACCUGAGAGGGUGAUCGGCCACACUGGAACUGAGACACAGUCCAGACUCCUACGGGAGGCAGCAGUAGGGAAUCUUCCGCAAUGGGCGAAAGCCUGACGGAGCAACGCCGCGUGAGUGAUGAAGGUCUUCGGAUCGUAAAACUCUGUUAUUAGGGAAGAACAUAUGUGUAAGUAACUGUGCACAUCUUGACGGUACCUAAUCAGAAAGCCACGGCUAACUACGUG
rnacentral:rRNA from 1 species